CAGGGAAGGGGGCCCCGUGUGGGCGCAAAGGCUUGAAUAGCUCCUCUCUCUUGGGACUCGAGCCCUAGUCCCUCCAGCUGUACGUCUAAAAUAGAAAAAGACAGAAGCACUGGGCACUGGGAUGUCAUCCUCCUGCCCAAAAGUCUUGGUGGUUCCAGAGAGCUGGGUACUGCCCCCAGAGAAACGACCUCUGUUAAGUGGGGCAAGCGGCCUCCGGAUGAUCCAUAUGUCUGCCUAGGAGACGCCAGGCCAGAGCCAGCUGGGUGGCCGACAGAACUGGCUAGGGUGGAAGAGCCUGGGGAGCUGCCAGGGUCCCCGAUCCCUACAGAGCCAAGCCGCCGCCCACGCCCUCUACGGACCAGGCCGGGGGCAGCUCCGGCCACACCCACCGUCUGGGCGCUCUAACAACUCCACGUGGGCUCCGCCUCCUCCGUGGCUCCGCCCAGCCCUGGCCAGCCCUGCAUCCUGUCCCAAGAUCCAGAGGUGUAGGUAGAUGCAAGGGGCUCCGGCAGACACGAAAGAGAGGAGACCUCCGCUGCGUAGGGUCACGGAGGAGAAUUUCCGGGCUUAGGGGUGAGAGGACUCCAGCGCUGCGGCCCCUGGAAGCCUGUAAACUGCAGGAGCCAGGCAGUCUUGGAGGCCCAGGAACAGCCUUGUGUAUUUGGGCACGGGGAGGUGUAUACGUGGCCCGUGGCAGAAGUCUCUAGCGGAUGUGCCUACCACAGAGCCCUGGGAGCUGAGGCCACGGUUGUGGGGCGUUAGGACAGCUGGACACAUAUGCUGCCGUUCCGGAAGCUGUGUUUGCAGAGGGCCAAGCUGAGGCCCAGACCUCUAGGGGUGAGGAGCGGAGAGUGGGAGGUGGAGCCCGUUCUCCCGGCACCAUCUAGUGGGAAGUUUAGGAAUCGCGGAGUGCUGAGGUAGGGAGGCGGUACCCAGCACCGGAGUCCUUCCUUUCCCUGGGUGUCCCUUUGGCACCUACAGGCCACUCUCCCGUCCAGCGUAUUCCAUCUCCGCGAUGUGCCCCAGAUAGAAUGGGAGCCACUCUAACAUCUGGCCUCCUCUGCUGCGCUCCAAGUCCUGCCGCUCCUUUAUGGUGAUUAUCUCUGGAACCUGCCUCUCUCCUUCCCAGCCAAGGGUCUCUGAAGCACCUGCCAACUGCUCUCUGCCUCUGAUUUUGCUGUUUUCCUCCUGCAUCCUUUACAUCUUGGUGUUUCUAAUACAAAUCUGGUUGUGUCACCCUCUUGACUGAAAUACUUCGGUGACUCUUCCUGGUCCAGAUAACCUCCAAACCUUGGCUCAGGACUCAGGAGUCUCUUCACCACCCAGCCCCACCUCUUGCUGCGCUGGCAUCACUCUCAAAGGGGCUUUCUGCGUUCCAUUUGGUCAGGGAAGUCCUUGGUUUUCACCCCUUUCCCAGCCAUCUCUGCCUUCAGAGCUCAAUCUGGCAAGAACCCUUCACCUUAGGUGGUCUUUCCCGCCCCCCAGGUAUGAAUUAGGUACCUGUCUGAGGUCCUACAGGCCCCCAGUGCACACUUAUACUUGCAGAGCAGCCGCGGCCUGGAUCUUUUUAACUGCCCAGUCACUCUAGAGACAGGACGACUUAUCAAGACAGAAAUUGCUUUGCUCCCCUGUGUUUCCCCCUCCUGCUUCCAAACUGGUAACCAAGGCCUUUGAUUUUCCCAGCCUCGGGGAACUGCACUGGGCUGAAUACAAAAGCUGCUUGAAGUCUGGUGUAGCGUUCUGGCUUUUGAAAAAGUAACCUUCUGGAAGCAACUGUGCUAGGUGUUCCCCAGUGACGGGAGGAUAGACAAAGGAGAAAUAGCUGCCCAGGGGACAGAAGUGGGAGGUCUUCUUCCCCUGAUGGGUGACUGGAGCCCAGGGAUGGGUGGUAACGCAGCUAAGGAGGCUGGAGCCCAGGCUCUGGGUACUGGCUUCAGUUUCACAAGGGAGCAGGGCAGCAGCAGUCACUGAAUCUCCUGGAACCAUGUGGACUAGGACAAUGGGCAUCUCUGUGUGACCAGUGUGACCGAGGACAGGAAGCACCUCCUCCAUUCUUAGGCGCACAGGAGGGGCCGGUAGGUCCUACACAAGCAGGUCCUGCAUAAGCCUAGAGAGGAGAAAGGAAGCAUCCCAGCAAUGACUGAGAUGGAAUUUUCUGCAACUUAUAGGAAAAGGCUUAGAGUGAGUCUGAUUGGGGUUGGUUUACAUAGUACAGAAACAGCAUUCUGUUUGCCUGCCAAGAUUCCUACCUGCUACACCUGGCUGUGUACAUCUCCAAUACAGAGCUGAAACCCACGUGCCUCAUUCACAACUGGAUCCUCAGGGCGCAGCGUGGUGCCUGGCACUUAGGACGCCUGGAUUGAUGGCCUGAGUUGUGCAGUGCCACCACAGAAGCCAGGGACAUACCAACCUGGAGCAGGCCCGGUGGGAAGCUGAGGCUGAGGUAGGGGAGGGGCUGUCCCACUCUUGCCUACUUAAAUGUUGGGACAGGGUGGGGACUGCAGGGUGCAAGCAUAAUGUGCCUACAUCUUUGUUUUGCACCAGGUAGCUUCCUCAGGGGGUCCAGCAUUCUCUCCUCCUGUAAGUCCUAUAGUCAGAAUUUGUUGAGUACCUCCCAACACUCUCCUUGGCCUCCCCUCAGGAACUGUGGCUGCCCUGCAGCCCCAUAUAUAAGCAGAAUCAAUCCCCAUGAUGGUAUCCAUUCCUAGAUCUCAGGACCCUGCCUUUUAGGGUGGCGGGCUGGUUAUUUUUAGUUUGUCAUUAUGUAGAAUCUUGGGGAGGGGUAAGGACAUUCUCUGUAGCUAAUUUACUUUCAGAUCCUAUAGCAGGUCCUGGCUUUUUCUCCCCUUUUCAAAGCUCCACCUUAAGAGCUGUCUACACUACUUUCCUGUCUUCACCUUCUACUUACUUGACAGCCCACUCCAACCUGGCUUCCUGCCAGCAACCCUAACAGCACCCUCCUGAGUUCCAGCCCUGUGUAUUCAACCACCUACUAUCUACUCAAAAUCUUUCGACUGAAGUUAACACGUACAAGGCCAAAUUUACAGUUGUCUUCCCCAAAGCUGGUCUUCUUCGUUGCCUCUAAGGUAAUGGCAUGAUCACACAUCCAGAUGGGUGAGACCAAAGCCCACAGCAUGGCUGGCAGCUCUGCUCGCUGCACACACAGACACCCUUCCUCCACCAUAGCGCUCCUCUACCGUCUCCUGCAUUGCUCUUUACUAGGCUGUCUGAAGCUACCCUCACUCUUUGGAGAUCUCUCGAUCCAUUUUACACCCACCUAGGCAUCCUAUCAUCAGCUUGAUACCCUCCCUUGACUUCCUGCUAGUUUUAAAUUACAAAAACCCUCAAUGGAAUCUUCCUUACACUGGACAUUUAGCAUAUGUCUUGAAGAUCUGAGAAGGGGUGGUCUUUCUGGAGUAGGCACCCUUGAGGGGAAACACCCUUGAGGGAAAAAGUCCCAAGUGUGAGCCCCAUGAAGUACAGAGGUGGGCAUGAGGUGGACAUGAGGAAGUACAGAGGCAAACAAGUCCAGAAAGGCUGAAGUCAGCAGCAGCUUGCCCUGCCCUGGGUCUUCCCUCAGCUCACCAGACCACCUAAUUUCCUUUUAAUUUGUACCUAAUGAAAGUGAACGAAACCCAAUUGAAUUUUAAUGUGUGCUCAAGUGCCAGCCCCAAUCUGCUUCACUUCUCCCAGGGUCUGGGGCUUGCAGGUGGGAGGGAAAUGACAGGUUGUGGAGGUAGGGACAGGAGAGGGAAUAUAACCUUUCCUUAGUCCUGCUGUGACAAUCCCAGGACCAGCCCACAGGUAUCCUCAGGACCUUUUCCUACUUCCCCACACUUUCUCUGUGCCCACUUGUAUUUCCAGAAUAUCUAGAUUUCAGGAGACUUGGGACCUUGUGGCUGUUAUUCCUGAAAUGUUAACUUCAUUGGAUUAAGAAAUGGCUAGAAGAUUAUUGAGCAUGACCCUGGGUAUGUCUGGACGGGUCUUGGAGGUGGGUGUGGGUGACUGUAUUUAACCCCAUGCCUGUUCCUCUCUGCCACUGUUUCCCUGCUCUGCUUCCUUGCUGCCAUGAAUAAGAAGCUUUGCUCCACCACAGCCUUCCAACUUGAGGUUUGUACCUUAGAGCCAGCCUUGUACCGUGGACUGAAUCUCCUAAAAUGAUGAGCUAAAUCAAACAUUUCCUUCUUUAAACUGUGGGUCUCAGCAAGGGGAGGAAGCUGACUGAUACAGAUCUCCCCUGAGUUGGCACCACACUAAAUCACUUUCUGGGAUCCUCUCUGUGUACAGUGAGAUAGGUCAUGCUGAGAUGCUUCCUUUUUUUCAGAGGACACUGAAAUACUUGCCCAUAGGAACCACCUUUGCUCUGCUUGGAGCUGUGCUGUCCAGUGUGGCCACCACCCACCACAGGAACCCUGGCAUACAGCCUGGUCAGUCCUCAAUCCCUGUGGUUCACAUAGUGGAGAAGCCAGAGGCCUGACGGUAUAGUGGCCAGGCAGGGAUGGGAGAGGCCCAGCCCACCUCUCGGCGCAGGAAGCAGUGCACAGCAGUGAU